UUGGUAAUCACACAAGAGAGUUCCUCCCAAAGUUCUAAGAGAGCAAACUAGAUCACCCAAUGAGCAAAUCCAAGUGAACCACAAAAGAUCAAGAGAGAAAGAUAAGAGAUUUAGAGGGGAACCCGCCUUAACCACCUCAAAGACCGGAUUUCUCUUCGGCCAGCAGGCUUUCUCUUCCACCACCACACCACAAACAAAUCAAACUUUGGAAUA
rnacentral:lncRNA from 1 species